rnacentral:rRNA from 1 species
AGAAGCAAUAAUGUUAAUAUGAGUAACAAGAAAAUUUUCUCCCUGCAUGAGUGUAUAUCAGAACGAAUGAUGCACUGGUAGUUAACAAAUACAGACAUAACUAGCUAACUAAAAUCUUAAUACAACUGUUAGUCCAACACAGGCAUGCACCCAGGAAGAUAAGA